AUGGUUGCGGUGAUGGAGGUGCGUCCACACCUCCUCGUCCUUCUCUGCCUCCUUGGCGCCGGCGCCGGCGCCGGGAUGGCGCAGUCUUUGCCGCCGGCGCCGGUGCCGCAGUCCGGGGCGGCGGCGGCGGCGCCGAGGCCCACGCCGUUCGGGCGCACCAUGUCCACGGUCAUCACCGUGGCCAUCAGCGUCUUCUUCUUCCUGCUCUUCUUCUGCGCCUACAUCAACCAGUGCCGCCUCGCCGAGAACGCCGCGCCGCAGGGGGCCAACGCCGCCGCGGCCGGGGCCGGUGCGUCCAGGAGGGGGAAGCGCGGGCUGGACCCGGCGCUGGUGGCCACGUUCCCGAUCAUGCAGUACAGGGAGAUCAAGGAGCACAAGAUCGGCAGGGGCGUGCUGGAGUGCGCCGUGUGCCUCACGGCGUUCGAGGAGGCCGACGACCUCCGGCUGCUGCCGCACUGCUCGCACGCCUUCCACCCGGAGUGCAUCGACCCCUGGCUCGAGGCGCGGAUCACGUGCCCGCUGUGCCGCGCCAACCUCGAGAAGCCGCCGCCGCCGCCGCAGCCGUCCGCCGUGGCGCCCCCGUCGCCCGAGCAGGCGGCGCUGCAUCAGCCCUCGCCUUCGCCGUCCCCGCCGCACGCCGUGGCGAUACCGGUGCGGGAGGAUGAGGAGGACAGCGACGAGGACGACAGGAAGGAGGAGGCGAUGGAGCUGGAGAUGCUGCGCAGCGAGCGGCGGGCGGCGAGGCUGCCGAGAUCGCACUCGACGGGGCACUCGCUGUUCGCGGCGUCGGCGGCCGCCGCCGAGCGGAGCGACCACGAGAGGUUCACGCUGCGGCUGCCGCACCACGUGAGGGAGCAGGUGCUCAGGUCGCGCCGCCUGCGCCACGCCACCAGCCUGAUCGACCUCGCCGGAGCGAGCCCCGAGGGGAGCGUGCGCGGAGGCCGGCCCGCGGGCGGAGGAGGCGGCGGCAGCAGCCACGGCGGGCGGCGGUGGCAGGCGUUCCUGGCGAGGACGAUGUCGUGGGCCCGAGGGGGAGGCGACGGGUCGGUGCGCAAGGGGUGGGACGGGUCCACCCGGAGGGGAAGGGACGACGCCGAGUCGAGCAGAAAGGGGGCCGCUUCGCCGGCGGCGGCGCGGCCAUGA
rnacentral:rRNA from 1 species